CUCAUUUUUCUCUCACCCUUUCAUUUCUGUUUCUCUGUCUUCUCUGGCCUCUCGCCGUCUCUUUCUUCUCUUCAUUAAUCCUCUUAGUUUCCUCGUUGUUUGUCAAGAACUCGAGAUCGCCAAGGAGUGGAAGGAUCGCCAAGAACUCGAGAUCUCUCAGUUUUCUCUUCGUCUUUGGUUUCCGUUGCCGCUUUGACUGCAUCCUUCUGCUUCUUCAUACUCUACAGAUCCAGAGCCUCUUUCUCUCUCUGUCUCUCUUUGUAUCUGUAUAUAUCUGUAGAUCUCUCUCUCUCUCUCUCUGAUUCUUAUCGAUGAAGGUGAAGGUGAAAACAUAGAUGAAGGUGAGACCUCAAGAACAUCCUUGGCGCUGAGAAGAUGGAGCUGCUGCUGCUCUGUCUACACUCUUCUUCUUCAUAAUCCGCAGAUCCAAAGCCGUUCUCUCAAGUGAUGUGGGCUUUUUCCAUAUAUUUGGAAGCAGUCGUCAGUCGUCACACUUCCUCAACUGGUGCUGCUGCGAAGGACAAGAAAUAUUGACAACUUAACAGGGCAAUAUGUAGUCCUCCUCGGAAGUUGAGUGCUAUUGCAGAAGCAGGACUAUCUGGCUCUGAUGAUGUAGAUUUGGACUAUUCUAAUCAUAAAAUUUCUGAGGUAAUGUUUCUCUCUAAUUAUUUGUGUUUUGGGUUUCCAAGAAGCAAUUUGUACGAAACUCUUAUAGCUCUUAAAGCAUGUCAGUAUCAACUUUUUUGUCUAAUGUAUUUGGGCUGAAGCAUUUUCA